rnacentral:lncRNA from 1 species
UUUGAAAAUUUAAUUGAAAAAAUCAUAUAUUGAAAGUUUUGGGAUUAAUGGUUUUUUUUUUUGCACAAAAUAUACAAAUGUUAAUAAAAUCAUGGAGAAAUUACAUGUUUACCACUUUCAUGCUACCACUUUUCAUUUUUACCACCAUUAAAGAGAUAUUUUCAAAAAUACUUUCUUCAUCGAAUGACAAAAGACUUUUAUGCACUUGUUCUUUAUAUAUAUAAUAAAUAAAUAUUUAAAUAAAUAAAAAUCUAAAAAAAUAAAAAAUAGUUUUUUUAAUUUUUUUUAAUUAUACUAUUUCUAAAUUCAAACCCUAAACCCUAAAACUCAACUAUAAACUCUAAACCAUCAAUUUUAAACCUUUUUUUUUUAAAUACGAACCCUAAAUCAUCAAUCCUAAACCAUAUUUUUUUUUGAAUUACGAACCCUAAACCCUGAAAAAUCAACUCUAAACUCUAAACCAUCGAUCUUAAACCCUAUUUUUUUUUUAAAUACGAACCCUAAACCCUAAACCAUCAAUCCUAAGCCCUAUUUUUUUUAAAAUACGAACCCUAAACCCUGAAACAUCAACUCUAAACCCUAAACCCCGAAACAUCAACUGUAGACCCUAAACCCUAAACCUUCAAUUCUAAACCCUAAACCCUAAACCUUCAACUCUAAACACUAAAACAUAACUCUAAACCCUAAACGCUAAACUUAAACUCUAAACCCUAAACCAUCAACACUAAACCCUAAACAAUCAACACUAAACCCUAAACCCUAAAAAAAUAAACUUUAAACCCUAAACCCUAAAAAAUUAACCCUAAACCCUAACACAUCAACUCGAAACCCUAACUAAACAUUCAACUCUAAACCCUAAACCCUAAACCCUAAACCCUAAAACCCUAGAGUUGAUGUUUUAGGGUUUAGAUUUGAAGGGUUAGGGUUUUAGGGUUUGGGGUUUACGUUUAGGGUUUAGAGUUGAUGUUUUAGGGUUUAGAUUUUAAAGUUUAGGGUUUAGGGUUUAGAGUUGAUGUUUAGGGGUUUAGGGUUUAGAGUUGAUCUUUCAUGGUUUAGGGUUUAGAGUUGAUGAUUUAGGGUUUAAAGUUGAUGUUUUAAGCUUAGAUUUGGGGUUUAGGGUUUACGUUUAGAGUUUAGAGUUGAUGUUUUAGGGUUUAGAUUCGAAGGUUUAGGGUUUAGGGUUUAGAGUUGAUGUUUCGGGGUUUAGGGUUUAGAGUUGAUGUUUCAUGGUUUAGGGUUUUUGUCAAAGUUAAUCAAAAGGUUAUAAAUGUCAUUUACGCUUCAUUGAAGAUGAGGGUAAAAGUGGUUAGUGUAAACAUGAAAAGUAGUACUUUGUAAAUGGUAUUUUUGACAAUUUCCCUAAAAUCAUAUGAAUAAGAAGUUUCAAUAAUAAAUAUUUAUAUUAAAAUAUACUAUAUAUCUAUGUCAGUUUCAAUAAAAUUUAAUUUAAUACUAUAUAAAAUAAAUAUUAUGAUUGUUUUUAUUUAUUUACCAAAAACAUUAUUAUAAAUAUAUAAGAGAUAUUAAUUUAUAUAUAUGUGAUUACUAUAAUUUAAUUAUAUAUAAUACAUAAAUAAAAAUAAAUAAUAAUAUGUAAAAAUGAUAUGCGUACAUAAGGUUCAUCCCCCUCGAAGCGCAUAUCUUACUGGUACUAAUAGCGCUUGUUUUCUUCUUUGAACCUGAACCAACUUAUUAUGUUAGAUUUACUUGAUGCCUCGCUCCCAUUAGUGAUAAACAUUACUUGACUGAAAAUGUUGAACAAAUCAAAAACGACCAAAACGUUAAACUUACUCCUUAACCCAGAGGCUUCCGUGUUGACUUUAAUUUUAUCAACACAACUGCCAAAAACCCUCUUUUCCAGCUUCUCACUCACUCACGAUUCAAGCGUUUUUGAUCCCCAAACUUUCUUAGGGUUUCUGCUUCUCUCGGAUUUUAACUCUCAUCUACCUCGACCUCUCUCAUGGAGAUGAGGGGCGUCGAUUUAAAGUGGUGACAUCUCUUCUAUCUUCUUAGUUUUCCAUUUAAGUCAAUCUAAAGGAGACGAAUUUUUAUUUUACUUUUCGAUUCCCAUUUCGUAUUCUCGACUUUUCAUAGGUAAUGUUGCAGGUACAAUGGGUUCUUUGUCGAUACUUGCAACUAGUGUGUAUUCUUUAUAUUUCUCUACUUGUUGGCUUCUGCAAAUUUGUUCUAUUUUUUCUUGGAUCGUACAGUACGAAAACUUCGUCUGUGCACCCGCAUGGCUAUUAGUUUUUACGUUUUUUUAUAUUUUGAUAUUUAUUAUUCAUGAUUAAUGUUAUAUAUUUUAGAAGUGUUGCGAUGUAACUAAUUGUAUUCAAAAGAUCCGGACCGAAACAUAUAAUAUGGUUAUUUUUGGUAUAAAUAUUCGAACCCGUUUCGGAUACAUGGUUAUUUAGAUAUUUUUAGGUUCCUAUACAGCAGAUCCUGAGCUGGGUAGAUCCAACUCGAAACCCACACAUAAAUUUAUAAUAUCCAGACGGGCCUUAUUUCAUAAAAAAACUAAUACCCGAAAGAAACAACUCGUAUCCGAAAGGAUGCCGGAUGUCCAUGCCUAAAUGAUUCCGUAAACAAAUUAAAAAAAACUGUUUCUAUGUGUUUGGCUAAAUUAAGUGAAAUGGAAAGAGUUUUUUUUAUGUACUAAAAUAGUUAUAUGAAGUGAAAAAUAAAUUGAUAAUAAAUGAAAUAUAUUUUUAUUAUUUUGAUUUAACUUAUUAUUUUGUUUACCUAAACUAUAUGUAUUUGAAUUAUGUUUUUGGAUACGAUAGUUUUCACCAUUUAAAACUAAGAUAAUUUUUUUUUAAUAAAGCAGACUAAACCGAACUUUUAACCAUAUGCAAAAUCCGGUUAUUUUACAUUUUGAUUUUUAUAAUUGGUAUAAAAUCUAAUGUUGAUUAACUAAUAAAUACAAAUCUUCACCUAAACCCUAAACCCUAAAAAAAUAAACUUUAAACCCUAAACCCUAAAAAAUUAACCCUAAACCCUAACACAUCAACUCGAAACCCUAACUAAACAUUCAACUCUAAACCCUAAACCCUAAACCCUAAACCCUAAAACC